rnacentral:rRNA from 1 species
GAUGAACGCUGGCGGCGUGCCUAAUACAUGCAAGUCGAGCGAACGGACGAGAAGCUUUCUUCUCUGAUUUUAGCGGCGGACGGGUGAGUAACACGUGGAUAACCUACCUAUAAGACUGGGAUAACUUCGGGAAACCGGAGCUAAUACCGGAUAAUAUUUUGAACCUCAUGGUUCAAAAGUGAAAGACGGUCUUGCUGUCACUUAUAGAUGGAUCCGCGCUGCAUUAGCUAGUUGGUAAGGUAACGGCUUACCAAGGCAACGAUGCAUAGCCGACCUAAGAGGGUGAUCGGCCACACUGGAACUGAGACACGGUCCAGACUCCUACGGGAGGAAGCAGUAGGGAAUCUUCCGCAAUGGGCGAAAGCCUGACGGAGCAACGCCGCGUGAGUGAUGAAGGUCUUCGGAUCGUAAAACUCUGUUAUUAGGGAAGAACAUAUGUGUAAGUAACUGUGCACAUCUUGACGGUACCUAAUCAGAAAGCCACGGCUAACUACGUG